CACGUAGGGUGCGAGCGUUGUCCGGAAUUAUUGGGCGUAAAGAGCUCGUAGGCGGUUUGUCGCGUCUGCUGUGAAAACUGGGGGCUCAACCCCCAGCCUGCAGUGGAUACUGCACGGCUAGAGUACGGAAGAGGCGAGUGGAAUUCCUGGUGUAGCGGUGGAAUGCGCAGAUAUCAGGAGGAACACCAAUAGCGAAGGCAGCUCGCUGGGACGUUACUGACACUGAGGCGCGAAAGCGUGGGGAGCGAACAGG
rnacentral:rRNA from 1 species